GACGAACGCUGGCGGCGUGCUUAACUCAUGCAAGUCGAGCGGAAAGGCCCUUCGGGGUACUCGAGCGGCGAACGGGUGAGUAACACGUGAGUAACCUGCCCCAGACUUUGGGAUAACCCUCGGAAACGGGGGCUAAUACCGGAUACGACACAGCUUCGCAUGGGGUCUGUGUGGAAAGUUUUUCGGUUUGGGAUGGGCUCGCGGCCUAUCAGCUUGUUGGUGGGGUGAUGGCCUACCAAGGCGACGACGGGUAGCCGGCCUGAGAGGGCGACCGGCCACACUGGGACUGAGACACGGCCCAGACUCCUACGGGAGGCAGCAGUGGGGAAUAUUGCACAAUGGGCGGAAGCCUGAUGCAGCGACGCCGCGUGAGGGAUGACGGCCUUCGGGUUGUAAACCUCUUUCAGCAGGGACGAAGCGUAAGUGACGGUACCUGCAGAAGAAGCGCCGGCCAACUACGUG
rnacentral:rRNA from 1 species